rnacentral:hammerhead_ribozyme from 1 species
CUACUGAUGAAGAGUCCUAAACUAGGACGAAACAGCUGUCUAGUAC